rnacentral:rRNA from 1 species
AGACUGCCGGUGACAAACCGGAGGAAGGUGGGGACGACGUCAGAUCAUCAUGCCCCUUAUGACCUGGGCUACACACGUGCUACAAUGGACGGUACAACGAGUUGCGAACUCGCGAGGGCAAGCUAAUCUCUUAAAGCCGUUCUCAGUUCGGACUGCAGGCUGCAACUCGCCUGCACGAAGUCGGAAUCGCUAGUAAUCGCGGAUCAGCAUGCCGCGGUGAAUACGUUCCCGGGCCUU